rnacentral:rRNA from 1 species
CCCCCUAUGGAGGGGAACCCCGGGAACUGGGGAUAAUACCCCAUAGACUAUGGAUGCUGGAAUGCUCUGUAGUUGAAAGGUCCGCCGCCAUAGGAUGGGUCUGCGGCCGAUUAGGUUGUUGUUGGGGUAACGGCCCAACAAGCCUGUAAUCGGUACGGGUUGUGGGAGCAAGAGCCCGGAGAUGGAUUCUGAGACACGAAUCCAGGCCCUACGGGGCGCAGCAGGCGCGAAAACUUUACAAUGCGGGAAACCGUGAUAAGGGAACUCCGAGUGCCCGUAAAAUCGGGCUGUCCAUCUGUUUAAAUAACAGGUGAAGAAAGGGCCGGGCAAGACCGGUGCCAGCCGCCGCGGUAAUACCGGCGGCUCGAGUGGUGGCCACUAUUACUGGGCUUAAAGCGUUCGUAGCUGGUUUGUUAAGUCUCUGGGGAAAUCUGCCGGCUCAACCGGCAGGCGUUCCAGGGAUACUGGCAGACUAGGGACCGGGAGAGGUGAGGGGUACUCCAGGGGUAGGAGUGAAAUCCUGUAAUCCUUGGGGGACCACCUGUGGCGAAGGCGCCUCACCAGAACGGCUCCGACAGUGAGGGACGAAAGCUGGGGAGCAAACCGGAUUAGAUACCCGGGUAGUCCCAGCCGUAAACGAUGCGCGUUAGGUGUAUCGGUGACCACGAGUCACCGAGGUGCCGAAGAGAAAUCGUGAAACGUGCCGCCUGGGAAGUACGGUCGCAAGGCUGAAACUUAAAGGAAUUGGCGGGGGAGCAC